rnacentral:lncRNA from 1 species
AUGAACUUAACAGCUUUUCCAUUUAGUUCUCUGAGGAUGUGGAGCAGUGAAGUCAAGUUACCUACAAAUAAGGAUGGUCUUCUACCUCCCCACUGCCAUCAUUUUCAAGGACAAGAUACACAGUUCCCUGUCAUCUCAUUUACAAUGUUAAGUGCAGAACUGAGGUACUUGCAGUGCAGCAUUCCACGGACUCAUCAAUCAGAAAUCAAAGGCAAUUGAAUUAUUGGGCUUCUACAGGUAUAUGCAGCAGAUAGUGUAUGAGCUAAAAGCCCUACAUUGGCUGAGAAAACUCACCAAUUCUGUCUUCUUAAAAAUAUCUUCAAUCCAUCCAUCAACUGAAGUACAAGCAUCAGCCACUAAGAUUUGACUGACAUGUCACAAUGCAAACUUAGUCACUUUUGUAACACUAGGGAGUUUUAUUUCAGUUCAUGCAUGUGCUAUGACUGCUGAAACAACAAAUGCAAGGUUGAACCACAUUCAUAGUGUCCAAAUCAAGGGCAAUGCUGAACCAAAGCGUUUCCUGAUCUUUCCCUGGUCACCUCCUGACGAGCCUGUUUAGACCUGUCUUCGUAAUUGUCAUCUGUCUCAUGAAAUUUUAAUGACAUAAAGGCGGUGUAUAUCUCCCUGUGUCUUGUGUGCAUGUCUGGGCUUCAUACAUUUAAAAAAAAAAAAAAAAAGUAAGCUUCCCUCUCUAAGAACCAAUCUGUGCCCCCUUGGGGGUGAUAGACCCCUGCUAGGAUGGCCGCUGGAUGGUGAAGCCUGUUGUUAUCUUACGAUGAACUUACAAACUGAUUUUAGACCCUAUCCUCUCUCCUCUUGUUUAAUCCUCAUUGCAACACAAAUACAUUAACAUAUGUGAAGUUAUAGAGCUUAAUAUUUGAUCAGAAUGAAGUAAUACUUCAAGUAAACAGGAUCAAUGGACAAUUUUCCCUUCAUUCAAC